rnacentral:piRNA from 1 species
UGCAGCACACCAAGGCUUUGGAUUCC